AAAUUUCAAACUAGAUAGGAAUCUUUUCCCAGCUUAAAAGAUGAUCAAUCACGAGUAUCACGCUUACGUUAAAAAUAGCAAUAUGUCUAGGUAGGUACAGACGAGUUGGUGGAUGAAACCGCGUACCAAUCCGAUGUCGACUGCUGUUGUCAGAACCAUUUUUAUUUAUUAAAAAAAAAAAAAAAAAAAAAAAGGCAUCAGCUUCCCAAAUCCCCUCCCCCAAAACCCCUCAUCCUCUCAAACCCGCUCUCUCCCAUCUUUCUCACUGCCAACGCAGUCCCAUCCUCAAUUACCGCCUUCUAAACAAUGCUCGCCCCGCUGGCUCCCAGCAUAUAUGCCGAGGCCUUGUAAACGUCUCUAUCACGUUAUCAAAGAUCUCACUUCGUCUCGGUGGUUAGAAUUUUUUCUACAAUUAAAACUUCCAUUUUACUAUCUGCUUCUUCAUUUCUUUCUCUAAAUCUCUACGCUUGCUCUCUGUUGAAGCAAUAACACACUCUGGCACUCUGCAGCCACGAUCCAUGGUAGUGCGCAUGGCAAGGCACAAACCAACACUGCUGUACCAGACAGCACAGACCACAACCAGAAGCAAACAAAGAACUCAUGCACAACGGCUACAACAGAGCUUCUGCCAAAAGCAUCUUCAAGAGAACCAAUGAAAGAGCUCCAAGUGUCCUAGGUCUAGAAUAUCAUUUUCAAUCCUUGUGUAAAUCUGAAUUGAUUCUUUGAAUAGUUUUUGGAUAUAAAUAGCACACAAAUGUAAUGAACAGUAGGUUGGAAAUAUACAAGAAUACAAAGGAAAAUUUUCCUCUCUAGUUGCGUCAUUUCAUCAAGCACCUUGUGUGUAUUGCAGUUUACUCCAUACGUGAUUUAUUACUCUCCCUCCUUUUGUUGGCAUUCUGUGCGGCAAGACUACCUUGGUUAAAGUUGGUUGCUUCUGAAGUCUCUUCGCCGAGGCAGGACCAAGCCAUGGGGUUUAUGCGAACCGCGUCGUGUUUGAUGCUCGCUUCUACUUUCUUUUCUUACUUCGUUGCCGCAUUUUUUGGUUUGAGAAUGUUGAGUGAGAGAUCGAUUGUAUAAUUUUGCGGUAUUUGUUCUGAGAACUCUGGUGGAAUUAUAUUGUUGAAAGCCACCCAAGUGGCAUGAGUUGCACAUGCACCGUAAGGUGCAUUGUUUUGGUAGGUACCGUUUGGUGCUUUGUUUUUGUUAGGCAUCCAUCCCAUAAUUUUAGCAGAAAUUUGCUGCACCGUAUUCAGCAGUUGAGGAGAACUCCUUCUAUAAA